AUCUGCAUGUGGAGAGUGGACAGUGGCAAUUACACUCAUGCUGAGCAUUCUCACAUAUAUGCCAGAGUUACAGCAUCUAUGCAUGAAAUGUCCUAGCAAGAUACAUGAGGACUGGAUACAUCUGAGGGAGAUGGUGCACGCUGGGCCAGAAUACCCAUGACCGGCCAGAGAUAUUGAUGACAACGCAUUCUCCGUCAGCCAGGAAGGCAGCCCGAUAUCCUGCACAAAGGUUGAUGUUUGGCUUGGUCAAUGGAAGGGAAGCCAGUCCCGGGGGAAUCCGCCACUGACAUCACAUUGAAGCAGGAACCCCCUCAUGCACCACUGACAGCAGAGCACUGGGCUGCUCAUAGAAUCCAACUAGCUGUUAUGGAUGUAUUGUACAAAUGGCCUGAAAGCAAUCGGUAAUUAGUUACAUAAAUAACUUUUUACCUUCA